GAAAUGCCUUGUUGACACAGGUGAUCAGAGCAAAGUGGCCAAAAUUGAUAUAAAGAUAUUAGUAUGCCAUGUGAAGCCCUGCUUUCUCAAGGCUGCUAUUUUUCAGCCCUCCAUAACACCUCUGUUCCUUAACCUCCAUUUAACCUGGUGACUUGUGGAAGCAUCUUCAGAGGGCUGUUGGAUACCAGAAUCUCACUUCUGCUUCAAGAAGUCUCUGAUUCAUGGACUGCUGCAGGAGAGGAUUCUGAGGAAGUAUCACAACAUGCUUACCCUGAUCCAGCCCAUCGUUCAGUGCUGGAGGAUAGUGGGAUGGAUCUGUGGUCUCACCUGGUACAGUUCUGUUCACAUAAUGUGGCUUCUUUAAAACUGUCUUUAAGACCUCUUGUGAGAGCAAGACUGAUUGUUCCUAUCAAGAAAACACAUGCAAUUAGGUUUAUUUUUGAUUGGACCUUGUACAAAGACAUUACCUUCAAGAAGAAACAUUGACAUUUUAGGUUUUUCUUGAAACCAGCAUAUAAGGAUAUGUUGUAUGUUGUGACUACGCUGCCUCCUACACAGAUGAGAUAAAAAGGAGUUGAAGUACACUGGACCAAACUCCCAACAGAAUUCUUUGAUAUUUGUCUUUGGAUGUUGUGGAUGUGAAGAUGUUUCAGAAUGGAGUUCAUAAUCCGGGACCUCUUUUCAUGGGAGGGUGAACACAUGAAGGCCUUCUUGGUGAGCAUCAAAUCCUGACCUGGGAUGGAAAGCAAUCUUUGUGAACAUUUGUACAGAGGGCUGUGUGAUAGAUCCAGCAAAGGCUGAAGACUGGCAAUAGUGGCUGAUGUAGUACCAUGGAGAAAAGAAAUCUGAACACUGCUCUCCAAGGAGACUGAGUGAGAAGUUAGGUAAUAUUGGGUUUCAUUGCCUAGUUGGAGUUGACAGAAGGCAAGGUGAUUUUGCUCUUCAAAUUGUGCUCAGAGGACAGGAGGCAGUGUGUUUAUUGCAGUAUAUGUGGUAGGUGGUAGGAAGGCACUGUAUUAUGUACAAAGGUCUCUUGCAAAGCUGAUGCCUAUUUUUCCCACUGCAGAGUCAGUACACUGACUGCCUCCUUGCACAUCCAAAGCCUUGCCAUGAUUUGCUCUCUGUAUAAUUUCAUUAAACCAAUGGGAAUUGCACUGAGGUAAAAUUGGAGGAGAAAUUUUGUAUUCUGUAGCUGACAGGGGACGUCCUGAAUUUAUUCUAAAUUUAUUCUAUUGGUGUGGCUUUACUUUCAGGUAGGCAUUGUCAUGCAUAAGCCCUUUCAAGACAUCUGCUGCAAUAGCUGCAAGUGUAAAGUGUUCACUAGGAGCUUCUAUACUGCACUGCUGUGUGUGUGCAGGCUGUGCAAAGUGGGGAAUUCACCUUGCUUGUUAAACCAUAACCUUCCACAUAGGAAGCUCAAGUAGGUCACUUAGGGGAGCCAGGAAAUGCGCUGCGUGUCUGAUACGAAUCUGA